GUCCACGCUGUAAACGAUGAUUACUCGAUGUUGGCGAUACACAGUCAGCGUCUGAGCGAAAGCAAUAAGUAAUCCACCUGGGGGAGUACGAUCGCAAGAUUGAAACUCAAAGGAAUUGACGGGGGGCCCGCACAAGCGGAGGAGCAUGUGGUUUAAUUCGAUGAUACGCGAGGAACCUUACCUGGGCUCGAACGUAAGAUGACUGUAGGUGAAAGCUUACAUCUCUUCGGAGCAUUUUACGAGGUGCUGCAUGGUUGUCGU
rnacentral:rRNA from 1 species